AGGUGGUCGCCUAUUGUAAUGUU
rnacentral:siRNA from 1 species